rnacentral:rRNA from 1 species
UACGGGGGGGGCAAGCGUUGUUCGGAAUUACUGGGCGUAAAGGGCUCGUAGGCGGCCAACUAAGUCGGAUGUGAAAUCCCCAGGCUUAACCUGGGAACUGCAUCCGAUACUGGAUGGCUUGAAUCCGGGAGAGGGAUGUGGAAUUCCAGGUGUAGCGGUGAAAUGCGUAGAUAUCUGGAGGAACACCGGUGGCGAAGGCGACAUCCUGGACCGGUAUUGACGCUGAGGCGCGAAAGCGUGGGGAGCGAACAGG